rnacentral:misc_RNA from 1 species
AAAACUUUCCACGUGAACCGUAUCAACCCAAUUAGUUGGGGGCCUGCUCUGGGCGGCGGCUGUCGAUGUCAAAGUCGACGGCUGCUGCUGCGUGGCGGGCCCUAUCACUGGCGAGCGUUUGGGUCCUCUCGGGGGAACUGAGCUAGUAGCCUCUCUUUUAAACCCAUUCUGUAAUACUGAACAUACUGUGGGGACGAAAGUCUCUGCUUUUAA